rnacentral:tRNA from 1 species
GGAAGCGUAUUGCCACCGGUGUGGUACUUGGUCUUCAAAACCAAUGGCGGGCAGCUUGUCCGUGGUAGGUUCGACUCCUAUACGCUUCCGCCA